rnacentral:rRNA from 1 species
ACAGCAGUCGCCGCGGGAAUACGGAGGGUGCGAGCGUUAAUCGGAAUUACUGGGCGUAAAGCGCACGCAGGCGGUUUGUUAAGUCAGAUGUGAAAUCCCCGGGCUCAACCUGGGAACUGCAUUUGUGACUGGCAAGCUAGAGUCUGGCAGAGGGGGGUGGAAUUCCGCGUGUAGCAGUGAAAUGCGUAGAUAUGCGGAGGAACACCGAUGGCGAAGGCAGCCCCCUGGGCCAACACUGACGCUCAUGCACGAAAGCGUGGGGAGCAAACAGGAUUAGAUACCCCUGUAGUCCCUGUCUCUUAUAC